GGGCACUUAGUUCAUCGGUAGAACGCUUUCCUGAUAAGAAAGAGGCGGAUGGUUCGACUCCAUCAGUGCCCACUA
rnacentral:tRNA from 3 species